UUUUCAUUUCCUUUCGCCGCACAAAACAGCCAGUCACAGCGAAGACUCUCCUUUUGUCUAUGGUCUUCCAUUGUUUUUAAAUCUUGAACCUAGACUCAUUUUACCGUCAUACAAACGAAUCACAUCCUCUAUUGAUAUCACAAUACACCGGAGUUUCGCCGGAGAAUCGGAGAAGACGACCGGUUGUCGCGACCAAGUUACACUACUAUCACCUUCCCUCCCCCACAUCUCGACACCCAAACACUCGCAACACGUUUCGAUAUCCUAACACCUCACCUCAUUCUGUUUCGACACAAACAACACUCACCGUUCUUUUCAUAUUACCCACACGCUCGCCGGAAAGGUCGGAGGCAUCGCCGGAGACCGAGAAGACGACCGGAGAUACCCUUGUUGGAGACCGCAAGUCGCCGGAGAACUCGUAUCAAUGUCGGAGCUUACGUCUGGAUUCACGCCAUUUCCGUUUCGGGUAAUCGCUUACGUUCGACCCUUGGUUUUCCCAAUCUUUACUCGUGCGUUUAUUCAAGAAAUUCUCAUACGCAACCACUGUUGAUGAGGACGAUGCUAAGAAAAGAAAUAACGUUGAUGCCUAGAUACACAUAUAGACGUUAGGGUUUAAUAUGUUGUAUCAAAUUUUGUUAUGUUAUCAUGUUGUUUCGUUAAACUUGUUGUAUUUGAAUCUCUUGUAAUGUUGACUAUUUGAAGUUAUGAAAUGAAAUGAAAUUUGGAUUUU
rnacentral:lncRNA from 1 species